rnacentral:rRNA from 1 species
UACAGAGGUGGCAAGCGUUGUUCGGAAUUACUGGGCGUAAAGGGCGCGUAGGCGGUCACGACAAGUCAGUUGUGAAAUCUCUGGGCUUAACUCAGAACGGUCAACUGAUACUGUCGGACUAGAGUGCAGAAGGGGCAACUGGAAUUCUCGGUGUAGCGGUGAAAUGCGUAGAUAUCGAGAGGAACACCUGCGGCGAAGGCGGGUUGCUGGGCUGACACUGACGCUGAGGCGCGAAAGCUAGGGGAGCGAACGGG